rnacentral:rRNA from 1 species
UGGGGAAUAUUGGACAAUGGGGGCAACCCUGAUCCAGCAAUGCCGCGUGUGUGAAGAAGGUCUUCGGAUUGUAAAGCACUUUCGACGGGGACGAUGAUGACGGUACCCGUAGAAGAAGCCCCGGCUAACUUCGUGCCAGCAGCCGCGGUAAUACGAAGGGGGCUAGCGUUGCUCGGAAUGACUGGGCGUAAAGGGCGUGUAGGCGGUUUACACAGUCAGAUGUGAAAUCCCCGGGCUUAACCUGGGAGCUGCAUUUGAUACGUGUAGACUAGAGUGUGAGAGAGGGUUGUGGAAUUCCCAGUGUAGAGGUGAAAUUCGUAGAUAUUGGGAAGAACACCGGUGGCGAAGGCGGCAACCUGGCUCAUGACUGACGCUGAGGCGCGAAAGC